GGUCAUUGUCCGGUAAUGUACGCCUUAGUUGCUGUGCUCGAAACACAAUGAGGCCAUUCCAAUGACUGUCGCUCUCACGCGGAGUUGGACUACCAGACCAUCAUGGCAACAGUAAUAGGUUCCAGCUACCCCUGGAGAAUUCCCACAUGCUUCCAGGGCAAACAAGAUAUAGAAUCCUUCCAGCAUCUCCUGGAUCUGCACCUGGGACCAAAGUGGACAAUGAAGGCUUAAUCAUCACUGUCAUUCCCAUGGCCCAUCUCAACUUCACCACACCUGCAGAGACAGCAUCCUUUGUUCUCCUCCUUGACUGCACAUGCCUCCAUUCUCCAUGACUGAAAGUUCUUCAUCAUUACUUUCAUUUUUGUUGCACUGAUCAGUAUGACAUACUCUUCUGAAGCCCUUUCAACUCAGCACACCAACUCUUGUAGUUAUUUUGGCGACACAGACAAUAAAACAAUGUCAUCAGCCUACCUGAGAUUACUGAUGGUCUUCCCACCAAUCCUGAAUCCUCCAGAGAAUCUUUUGAAAAAUCAUUUGAAGUGUGCAAUAAUACAAAUGUAAGUUUUAGACUAAAUCACUAUUAGGAGAUUGUACUUUGCACAAAUGUGAUUCAUCUUAUUUGCGCAUAUUAGUACCAUUCAGGAAGCCAUACCUGGAAGUCGGUGCCUCUUAAUCCUCCCCCUGAUUUCCAGCUCAAACAAACAUUCUUUAAGAUCAUGUUUAAUUCACAACUUGCAUGUUUGUGGCUGCACUUUAUCUAUUGGCAUCUUGGAGAAUUAACAUUUCUAUGAAAUCAAUGUAGACCCCAGCAACACCUUUUACAGUGCACUAUUGGAAUUUAUGUCAUAAUGCAUGUUG